rnacentral:tRNA from 1 species
GCCUGGGUGGUUUAGCAGAUUAAGCAUCUGACUUCAGCUCUGGUCGUGAUCUCGCGGUUCGCGAGUUCGAACCCCGCAUCAGGCA